CAAUGGCCGUUCACACCCCUUCUCUCCGUCCACAGCAACGGCUCACAAACCCUGGAGGAGGGGAACACAGAGAGUCAACAAGCUGGCAAACUGGACAUUACUAACGCGUGAACAUUACUGAAGAUGCAGGUUCAU